CUGGUAAGUAUAUAAGCAAGAUGUGGCAUGCCCACACAGUGAAAUAUUAUUUAGUCAUGAAAAGGGAACCGAGUUUGGAUGAACGCACCGUGAGAGAACCAUGAAAACAUCCCAUUAAGUGAACUAAGCUGGAUGGAGAAUUUCACAGAGGGUGUGAUUCUGUGAAAUGUUCAGAACAUGUAAAUCUACAGAGAACAGAUUUCAUUCAGAGACAGGAAGUAUAGAAUGAGGAAUGCCUGGGUUCAGGUUUUCUUUCGAGGUGAGGAGAACUAGACCGUGCUGAUCUGUACAACUCCAUGAAAGCUUUGCUCAAGAGCCUUUGUGUUAUAUACUCUAAAAUGGUUCAAACGCUCCACUUCGGGUUUUCUGUAGCUGUGUCACUUUGUUCCUAUUCUGUAUCUGUGGUAUACUCCCUCUUCAUUUCAGUUCAACCCAAGCUGUUCAGUCUCAGCAGCAAACGCAUUCUUCUGCUUUACGAGGCCGUGAUGCUGACUUGGACAAUGCGUAAUUCGGGAGUAACUGAGGCUACGCAAUCCCAUUCGGACUCAACAGGAACGAGCUAUGAACGAAGGAUGAACUGUACAGCACGAGGCAGCACCCCUGCUGGAGCUCGAGUUGCACUGUCAGAGCACAGACGUCACUCUGGAUGGGAUGGGCCCGAGUGGCCGACUGACUGGGCAGAAGAUGCUUCCAGGGGGACAAGGCUCUGAGCUAGACUCCCAGAGGGCAGCGGGGCAGGUGGGGAAGGAACCGAAGGGAGGGAAUGGGAGAGUUGUCCAAGCUGACAAAUGGG
rnacentral:lncRNA from 1 species